rnacentral:rRNA from 1 species
CAGCAGCCGCGGGAAUACAGAGGAUGCAAGCGUUAUUUGAAUGAUUUGGCGUAAAGCGUCUGUAGGUGGCUUUUCAAGUCCGUCGUCAAAUCCCAGGGCUCAACCCUAGACAGACAGUGUAAACUGCCAAGCUGGAGUACGGUAGGGGCAGAGGGAAUUUCUGGUGGAGCGGUGAAAUGCGUUGAGAUGUGGAGGGACACCAGUGGCGAAGGCGACUCUCUGGUCUGUAACUGACGCUGAGGAGCGAAAGCGUGGGGAGCGAACAGGAUUAGAUACCCCAGUAGUCCCUGUCUCUUAUACA